GUUUCACUUGGACAUCUCAUUAGAGCAUGUAUGUACGUUCGCUAGAAUGGCUAGAACGCUACGCAGUCGAGCGUCACGUGUGCUGUGCACGAAUAUCAAUUGAACAGCUUCUACGCAAGAUGAAACACGCUUAUGACCUCCUUGUGUCGAUGUUGGCUGAUUUAGAUUGUUUAUAAAAGGAUAUAAGAUUUUAUGAUUCUGUUAAUGAUUCAGGGUAUCGUAUAUAUGUACUGAAAUUUUAUUGAUUAGUAUGGCGGUGUUGUAUUAGAAUCAUUAACAUGAACAUUUGUUAACUUUAAUUUGUUGAUAAUAGAUCAAGAUUUCAACGAAUUUUUUUCAUUCGAAGACAUUACAGACAAAAUAGACGUUUAUAAUUAUAAUUAAUGAAUUCUCUCUACAUGUAUGUUAAACAAUGUUGUAUGUUAUAUGUAUAUUUAGUGUAUAUGUGUAAGUGUAGUGUCUCGAAACAAUUAAAAAUAACUUUAUACGUUUCUCCUUAACAA